AUUGAACGCUGGCGGAAUGCUUUACACAUGCAAGUCGAACGGCAGCACGGGGGCAACCCUGGUGGCGAGUGGCGAACGGGUGAGUAAUACAUCGGAACGUGCCCAGUCGUGGGGGAUAACGUAGCGAAAGUUACGCUAAUACCGCAUACGAUCUACGGAUGAAAGCGGGGGACCGUAAGGCCUCGCGCGAUUGGAGCGGCCGAUGUCAGAUUAGGUAGUUGGUGAGGUAAAGGCUCACCAAGCCGACGAUCUGUAGCUGGUCUGAGAGGACGACCAGCCACAGUGGGACUGAGCCACGGCCCAGACUCCUACGGGAGGCAGCAGUGGGGAAUUUUGGACAAUGGGCGCAAGCCUGAUCCAGCCAUUCCGCGUGCAGGACGAAGGCCUUCGGGUUGUAAACUGCUUUUGUACGGAACGAAAAGGCUCUGGUUAAUACCUGGGGCUCAUGACGGUACCGUAAGAAUAAGCACCGGCUAACUACGUGCCAGCAGCCGCCGUAA
rnacentral:rRNA from 1 species